GACAGAGGGUGCAAACGUUGUUCGGAAUUACUGGGCGUAAAGCGCGUGUAGCGUGUUUUGCAAGUCGGAUGUGAAAGCCCUGGGCUCAACCUAGGAAGUGCACUCGAAACUGCAGAACUGGAGUCCUGGAGAGGAAGGCGGAAUUCUCGGUGUAGAGGUGAAAUUCGUAGAUAUCGAGAGGAACACCGGUGGCGAAGGCGGCCUUCUGGACAGUGACUGACGCUGAGACGCGAUAGCGUGGGGAUCAAACAGG
rnacentral:rRNA from 1 species